GAUGAACGCUGGCGGCGUGCCUAACACAUGCAAGUCGAGCGAUUCUCUUCGGAGAAGAGCGGCGGACGGGUGAGUAACGCGUGGGUAACCUGCCCUGUACACACGGAUAACAUACCGAAAGGUAUGCUAAUACGAGAUAAUAUGCUUUUAUCGCAUGGUAGAAGUAUCAAAGCUCCGGCGGUACAGGAUGGACCCGCGUCUGAUUAGCUAGUUGGUAAGGUAACGGCUUACCAAGGCGACGAUCAGUAGCCGACCUGAGAGGGUGAUCGGCCACAUUGGAACUGAGACACGGUCCAAACUCCUACGGGAGGCAGCAGUGGGGAAUAUUGCACAAUGGGCGAAAGCCUGAUGCAGCAACGCCGCGUGAGCGAUGAAGGCCUUCGGUCGUAAAGCUCUGUCCUCAAGGAGAUAAUGACGGUACUUGAGGAGGAAGCCCGGCGUAACUACGUGCCAGCAGCCGCGGUAA
rnacentral:rRNA from 1 species